GGGAAGGUGGCUCAGUGGUACAGUGCUUGCCUUGCAUGCAUGAGGCCCUGGGUUCGAUUCCUCAGCCACCACA
rnacentral:tRNA from 1 species